GCUAGCUACAGGCUUAACACAUGCAAGUCGAGGGGCAGCAUGGUCUUAGCUUGCUAAGGCCGAUGGCGACCGGCGCACGGGUGAGUAACGCGUAUCCAACCUGCCUUACACUCUUGGACAGCCUUCUGAAAGGGAGAUUAAUACAAGAUGUUAUCAUGAGUAAGCAUUUUCGCAUGAUUAAAGGUUUACCGGUGUAAGAUGGGGAUGCGUUCCAUUAGAUAGUAGGCGGGGUAACGGCCCACCUAGUCUUCGAUGGAUAGGGGUUCUGAGAGGAAGGUCCCCCACAUUGGAACUGAGACACGGUCCAAACUCCUACGGGAGGCAGCAGUGAGGAAUAUUGGUCAAUGGACGAGAGUCUGAACCAGCCAAGUAGCGUGAAGGAUGAAGGUUCUAUGGAUUGUAAACUUCUUUUAUACGGGAAUAAACGGAUCCACGUGUGGAUUUUUGCAUGUACCGUAUGAAUAAGGAUCGGCUAACUCCGUGCCAGCAGCCGCGGUAAUACGGAGGAUCCGAGCGUUAUCCGGAUUUAUUGGGUUUAAAGGGAGCGUAGAUGGGUUGUUAAGUCAGUUGUGAAAGUUUGCGGCUCAACCGUAAAAUUGCAAUUGAUACUGGCAGUCUUGAGUACAGUUGAGGUAGGCGGAAUUCGUGGUGUAGCGGUGAAAUGCUUAGAUAUCACGAAGAACUCCGAUUGCGAAGGCAGCUUACUAACCUGUAACUGACAUUGAUGCUCGAAAGUGUGGGUAUCAAACAGGAUUAGAUACCCUGGUAGUCCACACGGUAAACGAUGAAUACUCGCUGUAGGCGAUAUACAGUCUGCGGCCAAGCGAAAGCAUUAAGUAUUCCACCUGGGGAGUACGCCGGCAACGGUGAAACUCAAAGGAAUUGACGGGGGCCCGCACAAGCGGAGGAACAUGUGGUUUAAUUCGAUGAUACGCGAGGAACCUUACCCGGGCUUAAAUUGCAACCGAAUAUGGCGGAAACGCUAUAGCUAGCAAUAGCGGUUGUGAAGGUGCUGCAUGGUUGUCGUCAGCUCGUGCCGUGAGGUGUCGGCUUAAGUGCCAUAACGAGCGCAACCCUUGCCGAUAGUUACUAACAGGUUAUGCUGAGGACUCUGUCGGGACUGCCAUCGUAAGAUGUGAGGAAGGUGGGGAUGACGUCAAAUCAGCACGGCCCUUACGUCCGGGGCUACACACGUGUUACAAUGGGGGGUACAGAGGGCUGCUACCACGCAAGUGGAUGCCAAUCCCAAAAACCUCUCUCAGUUCGGAUUGAAGUCUGCAACCCGACUUCAUGAAGCUGGAUUCGCUAGUAAUCGCGCAUCAGCCACGGCGCGGUGAAUACGUUCCCGGGCCUUGUACACACCGCCCGUCAAGCCAUGGGAGCCGGGGGUACCUGAAGUGCGUAACCGCAAGGAGCGCCCUAGGGUAAAACUGGUGA
rnacentral:rRNA from 1 species